UUUUAGCUCCUAAGUCAAAAGAAAAAGUAAAAGUACAUUUGACCAAACGUUUUUUUAGUCUCUUGACAAUUAAUGGACUUAUUCAAGACAGUUCGUAAAAUCCUGAUUCGUGCAAUACAUCUUCAUUUUUUGCAAAAAUUAAUAAAUUUUGUAGAGUAACUUUAGUUACAAUUCAUAAAUCAUGCUAAGGCUUGUGAACAGAACGCAAAAUUGAACGACGUUCUAUGGAACGUGCGUUCAAUUAGCAGAACGCUGAACGAAACUGAUUUUUUUUUCAACGCUUAACAUUGAACUUACCAUAAGUACUUCAAAAAAAUUCAAAAAACCAAAGUAUAUAUUUUUUUUACUUUUUUAAAUAGGAUUGAACUGUUUUGUGGCAGUAGCAAAGGGGGGCUGAAGGGCUAACCUUUUGAAGGCUCUAAUCGAACACGAAAGCUUCUAGUACUCUACCUUAACUCGAACAUAUAAACUUGAACAGUUCAAUUAUUCUGAACUAUGGAGGAGCCGUGGCUCAUCAUUUAGCCGUUAAUAAAAGCAAAUGGGCCUCUAAAAAUAAAUUCUGCUCUCGUGUGUUGCAAGGGCUGCAGUAUUGUUUUUCACUAAUUAAUGCUUAUAAUAAUAAUAUUGCGGGAAUAUAUUUUCAUAGAAGAGAGCUGAAUAACUGUAGUAAUUGAGAAUUAUGAUUUUUUUCGGUACCUAUAGCGAUCUUAGAGAUUACAAUUCUGAAACUGUUAUAAUCGGAUCCGAUGUAUUUAGAACCAAGACGCCGCUUCAUUUUUUGUGUUAGUCUAACGACCACUCUAACUUAAACUAUGAAAUAACUGUAAGGCUACAUUUUUCAGUCUCACGGGAAAAAUAAUUUAUUUUAUUUACACCGAUAAUUAUUUCGUGUUACCUUUAGUUAAUGACGACCAGGAAAAAAAUAAAAAAAUAAUAAAGAUACUAAAUGUAAGCACCUAUUUAGUAAUAGGUUUGUUCUGAAAAAAUGAAUAAAUCUUAAUAUUCAUGAAGAUACGAAGGAGAGAAAAAGUUCCGAAGCUCUAAAAUGUAUUCUUCAAGACUGGGGAAUCCAAUCGAAGACGGUGGGCAUGGUGACGGAUAAUGCCAAGAAUUUUGCUAAAACUUUCAAUGUCUAUGGCAGGCAAUCCUAGGUACUAAUCUACGAAUUGAUAUACAUACAUAAGUUUUAUAAAGAAGACCAUUCUCCAUAUUAGACGAAUGCGUCCUUUAAGUAUUUUUUUUUCAUUUUCGAAGGCCGUCGAUGAGGCAUCUGUCGAAGAGAAUGAUCCACUCAGUUUUCAAUCCGAGGACGAAAUAAAAAUGUUAAUUUCGGGGAUAUCCUCUAGUCAGAUAAUGACGAGUUGUUGCAUUUUUGGAUGAAUUUUAGGUAAGUAGAGUUUAUCAAUGAAUUGUCGUGAAUAACUUUUUUUUGAAAAUGCAAAUCUGAAUAAUAAGUAAUAUCAUUCAAAUAAUUGAAUAUAUUUUUGUUCUAGAUGCACUUCCCAUACUUAAAAUUUAAUCGCAGCUACAGACAGCAAACAACCACUAAAGCCCAGGACAGGGGAAUAUGCUUGGUCAUAUUAUAAAAUAUAGUAAGAGAAAAAUGCAGAAAAACCCUUGUGACUCCCUCUAACGUACGCUGGAACUCUACAAGUGUGGUGCAGCAUGCAGCUAAGCCGCUAGACUUCCUAGUGGGAGAUAAUGCUAUUUGGAGGGCGAUAUUGAUAGCUUCUGCAUAUCUCCCUGAGUUCAAAGUAUGCUUCAUGGAUAUGGAGAAGCAAGAGAAGCAAGAAAUUACCUAUUGGAUGAGGCGAUACAAAUGGGAGAUUUUCCGUCAAGACAACUGUCCCAGAAAUUUGAAUGGAAAGAGAAGGACAAUUUCUUUGCCAAGAGAUAGAAGAAGAUUGAUAUAGCUAGACAGGUUGUCUCAUCGGUUUUGAAGAGACAAGUUAGAUACGAUAGAAUCAAUCCUUGCAUAUAGAAGGAUUUAAAAAAUAUUUCUGAGGUAUAUUGUAAUACUCCCAAUAGUGCCUGUUCGAAAAGGCGUUUCUCCAAAUCCAACUUAAUAUUGAAAAGGACGAGGUUAACAACUGGGGACAAGAAUUUCGAGAAACAGCUCCUCCUUAAAGCAAAUAAACAAUAAAAUUAUAGUUUGACUUAGUCGUUUUAAAAAUUUUAAAUAUACUUUUUUCAAAAUGUCUUUUUCCAUUA
rnacentral:lncRNA from 1 species